rnacentral:lncRNA from 1 species
GCCUGCGAUCUUCGGGAAAGAACGCGAGGCUCUGGGAUAAUCCGUUUCAGGGAGGAAUAUGAUUGGCAACGGAUUAUCCGGAGCCUCGCGUUCCUUCCCGAGGAUCGGGGAACGAGAUUGUUUUUUAACAAGUGCUUAACAAGCGGAGACAUGAACGGUGGGUCACGCGAUGAUGAUCGAACUUUUAUUAGUGGAAAACAAGUUUCAAAUUUAGGCCAUAGAGUUUCACAAAAUUGAGCAGCCAUCUCAUCAGAUUUCGCUCCUCGUUUACUAUUUUAGUCCAGUCAACAGAGUCUAAAUCAUUAAACCAUUCUUUGUUUUCUAUGGUCUCGCACCAUCUCUGAUGAAUAAAUUUGUUCUUUCUGCUUUUAUAGCAUCUUUCUGAGAUGUUAUAAUAAUGUUAUGAUCAGAUCUUAAUAGACCUUUUCUCACUUGUACUUUUUUCCAAUAAUGCGGAACGUUAGUUAUAAAGACAUCUAGAAUAUUGUUGCAUCUCGUAGGUGUUUUGACCAUUUGAAUAAGGGAUUGCAGACUAAGUAGAUCAUGAAUAUUUAGUUUGUUU